AGAGAAGACACGACACAAAACACUUCCACAUCCCAUGUGCCAGGGGGCAGUGUGUUGGCAUGCACCUGUGUUUGCUGUGAGAGAAGAUAAGCAGAUGCAUGGGGGCUUGCUCGCUCUCUGACACAACACUAACGUCGACCGACGCGAGAGGACGCUUGUGGGGCUCCGUCGCUGAAGCGCGUAGUUUAAACCUACAUACCGACCAUCAUCCAGCUGAGGCUGUUUUCACAGCUUCCGUGAACUAACCUACCACUGUUUGUGCUGGCCGCCAUCGGACUAAGACAGGGCCGGCCCCCGACAGGUGAGUGCAGGCUGUGGAGACCAUCCAUCUGAUGUGCAGGCUUCCUACCAGAGACACCCUGCCCCUGUACCCUGUACCAUCUGGGUCCUGCUGGAUCUUCUCGUUCUCAUACAGCAGGACUG